CUUCAAAAAUAUCCUCUAAUUAAAUACUAAAACUAAAAUUAUUAAUUCAUUACAAUUCUUUUACGCUCUUUCUACGUCGCUCUUCCACUAACCAUCGCCGUCUCGUUGUUGAUCGGAGAUCGGAGCUUCGACAAAAUCGUCGGCGAUCAAUUGAAGCAGCCAUGUCUGGUGACAUCCCCAGUUACGAGUUUUCGAAAAUGAUUCAAUUGGAAGACAAGUCUGAUUUCGAGAAGCUUCUCUCAUCGGAUUAUCGGAUCUCCGUAACAGGCUCCGGUUCUCUUCUCUCCAGUGCGUACAUUUCCUCCUUUGUUAUUAGUAUCAUUGAGAUUCGAAUCAUGGGUCGAUCUGUUCAGUUUGUGAGUUUCGGAUGGAGUUACCAAAGAUGAGACUUGGUGGUCUUCUACUAGAGAUCGGGAGAUUACUCCCUGGUCAUCGAAUUUGCCUCUUUGGCUUUGAUCUUGCUAUCAAGGAAGAAAAAAUAAGAAAUGUCCUGAAUUGGGUUUAGGUAAGUAGUGGGAUGGAGGUGGCUAUGAUUGAUGCAACAGCUAAGAGUGUAGGAGUGCCAUUGUGGAAACUAUUUGGCGGAGCUUCAAGUACUAUUACCACCGACAUAACAGUUCGGUUCUAACAUUAGCUCUUGCUGAUCUCGAUUGUUUCUACGGCGGAAGCUUCGAUUAUGGAUUUAACAUAUAGAAAAAAGGUUUUGAAACCUUGAAGCUCAAGGUGUGGAAGAAUCUUAAGGCUGACAUAGAAGCUCUCCAAGCUAUAUGUGCAGUCCACCCUACUUGUUCCUUCAUUUUGGAUGCCAAUGAGGGUUAUGGUUGUGAAAACAUUUCUAUAUUGUUUUGGUACUUGUACGAUGUUUCAGCAUUAUAAGAUUGUCACAUGUUUCUAUUAGACAAGUUGUUGAGGUAAAUGUGAUUGAGUUUGCUACAUGUUCUCUUUAAUUUCAAGAAAAUUCAAGAAGGAUUUCAUUAAA